rfam:Glossina morsitans morsitans, isolate Yale, WGS project CCAG01000000 data, contig: ctg10008890
UAACUCUUCAAGAUGUUGUGAAAUGUCGCUUUGGAAUUUUUCAAUUCAUAUCACAGCCAUUUUGAUGAGUUAUA